AGCGAACGCUGGCGGCAGGCCUAACACAUGCAAGUCGAACGAAGUCUUCGGACUUAGUGGCGGACGGGUGAGUAACACGAGGGAACGUGCCUUUAGGUUCGGAAUAACUCAGGGAAACUGGUGCUAAUACCGAAUGUGCCCUUCGGGGGAAAGAUUUAUCGCCUUUAGAGCGGCCCGCGUCUGAUUAGCUAGUUGGUGAGGUAAAGGCUCACCAAGGCGACGAUCAGUAGCUGGUCUGAGAGGAUGAUCAGCCACAUUGGGACUGAGACACGGCCCAAACUCCUACGGGAGGCAGCAGUGGGGAAUCUUGCGCAAUGGGCGAAAGCCUGACGCAGCCAUGCCGCGUGAAUGAUGAAGGUCUUAGGAUUGUAAAAUUCUUUCACCGGGGACGAUAAUGACGGUACCCGGCGAAGAAGCCCCGGCUAACUUCGUGCCAGCCGCCGCUGUAAGAC
rnacentral:rRNA from 1 species